GAUGAACGCUGGCGGCGUGCCUAAUACAUGCAAGUCGAGCGAACAGAUGAGGAGCUUGCUCCUCUGACGUUAGCGGCGGACGGGUGAGUAACACGUGGAUAACCUACCUAUAAGACUGGGAUAACUUCGGGAAACCGGAGCUAAUACCGGAUAAUAUAUUGAACCGCAUGGUUCAAUAGUGAAAGACGGUUUUGCUGUCACUUACAGAUGGAUCCGCGCCGCAUUAGCUAGCUGGUAAGGUAACGGCUUACCAAGGCAACGAUGCGUAGCCGACCUGAGAGGGUGAUCGGCCACACUGGAACUGAGACACGGUCCAGACUCCUACGGGAGGCAGCAGUAGGGAAUCUUCCGCAAUGGGCGAAAGCCUGACGGAGCAACGCCGCGUGAGUGAUGAAGGUCUUCGGAUCGUAAAACUCUGUUAUUAGGGAAGAACAAAUGUGUAAGUAACUAUGCACGUCUUGACGGUACCUAAUCAGAAAGCCACGGCUAACUACGUG
rnacentral:rRNA from 1 species